GCGGACGUGGUGCAUGGUGCACCACUGUAAAGUAUACAUUUGCCGAAUUAAGUUGAAGCAGUUGGACGGGGUUCGAUUCCCCGCGUCCGCA